AGGACGAACGCUGGCGGCGUGCUUAACACAUGCAAGUCGAGCGGUAAGGCUCCUUCGGGAGUACACGAGCGGCGAACGGGUGAGUAACACGUGAGCAAUCUGCCCUUCACAUCGGAAUAACUUCGGGAAACCGAAGCUAAUACCGGAUAUGACCAUCACGGGCAUCCGCGAUGGUGGAAAGUUCCGGCGGUGAAGGAUGAGCUCGCGGCCUAUCAGCUUGUUGGUGGGGUAAUGGCCUACCAAGGCGACGACGGGUAGCCGGCCUGAGAGGGUGACCGGCCACACUGGGACUGAGACACUGCCCAGACUCCUACGGGAGGCAGCAGUGGGGAAUAUUGGACAAUGGGCGAAAGCCUGAUCCAGCAACGCCGCGUGAGGGAUGACGGCCUUCGGGUUGUAAACCUCUUUCAGCAGGGACGAAGCGCAAGUGACGGUACCUGCAGAAGAAGCACCGGCCAACUACGUGCCAGCAGCCGCGGU
rnacentral:rRNA from 1 species